rnacentral:rRNA from 1 species
UACCAGCUCUCCGAGUGGUGUGGACGUUUAUUGGGCCUAAAGCAUCCGUAGCUGGCUGAACAAGUCCCCUGUUAAACCCACCGAUUUAAUCGUUGGUCUGCGGGGGAUACUGCUCGGCUAGGGGACGAGAGAGGCAGACGGUAUUCCCGGGGUAGGGGUGAAAUCCUAUAAUCCCGAGAAGACCACCAGUGGCGAAGGCUGUCUGCUAGAACGCGCCCGACGGUGAGGGAUGAAAGCUGGGGGAGCGAACCGGAUUAGAUACCCGGGUAGUCCCAGCUGUAAACGAUGCAGACUAGGUGUUUGGACGGCCACGUGCCGUUCUAGUGCCGCAGGGAAGCUGUUAAGUCUGCCGCCUGGGGAGUACGAUCGCAAGAUUGAAACUUAAAGGAAUUGGCGGGGGAGCACCACAAGGGGUGAAGCUUGCGGUUUAAUUGGAUUCAACGCCGGA